GACGAACGCUGGCGGCGUGCUUAACACAUGCAAGUCGAACGAAGAGCUAUGGAAGCUUGCUUCUAGCAAUCUUAGUGGCGCGCGGGUGAGUAACGCGUAAUCAACCUGCCCUUCAGAGGGGGACAACAGUUGGACACGACUGCUAAUCCCGCAUACGAUCUAAUCUCAGCAUCGAGGAUAGAUGAAAGGUGGCCUCUACAUGUAAGCUAUCAUUGAAGGCGGGUAUUGCGUCUGGUUAGGUAGGUGGUGGGGUAACGGCCGACCCAGGGGAGGCUCAGUAGCCGGACGGAGAGGAUGAACGGCCAACUUGGGAAUGAGACACGGCCCAGGACCCUACGGGAGGGAGCAGGGGGGAAUCCUCCGGAAUGGACGAAAGGCUGACGGAGCAACGCCGGGGGAGGGAUGACGGCCCUCGGGUUGUAGAGCUCUGUUAAUCGGGACGAAAGGACUUCUUGCGAAUAGGGAGAAGGAUUGACGGUACCGGAACAGAAAGCCACGGCUAACUACGUG
rnacentral:rRNA from 1 species